GCGUCGGUGGCGGAGUGGUCAAUCGCAGCAGACUGUAAAUCUGCCGGCCUUAGGCCUACGGGGGUUCGAAUCCCUCCCGGCGCA
rnacentral:tRNA from 1 species